CCUACGGGAGGCAGCAGUGAGGAAUAUUGGUCAAUGGGCGCGAGCCUGAACCAGCCAAGUAGCGUGAAGGAUGACUGCCCUACGGGUUGUAAACUUCUUUUAUAAAGGAAUAAAGUGAGGCACGUGAGCCUUUUUGUAUGUACAUUAUGAAUAAGGAUCGGCUAACUCCGUGCCAGCAGCCGCGGUAAUACGGAGGGUCCGAGCGUUAUCCGGAUUUAUUGGGUUUAAAGGGACCGUAGAUGGGUUGGUAAGUCAGUUGUGAAAGCUUGCGGCUCAACCGUAAAAUUGCAAGUGAUACUGGCAGUCUUGAGUACAGUUGAGGUAGGCGGAAUUCGUGGUGUAGCGGUGAAAUGCUUAGAUAUCAGGAAGAACUCCGAUUGCGAAGGCAGCUUACUAAACUGCCACUGACAUUGAUGCUCGAAAGUGUGGGUAUCAAACAGGAUUAGAUACCCCAGUAGUC
rnacentral:rRNA from 1 species